rnacentral:rRNA from 1 species
AUUGAACGCUGGCGGCAGGCCUAACACAUGCAAGUCGAGCGAGUGGCGGACGGGUGAGUAAUGUCUGGGGAUCUGCCCGAUAGAGGGGGAUAACUACUGGAAACGGUGGCUAAUACCGCAUACUAUCGGAUGUACCCAUAUGGGAUUAGCUAGUAGGUGGGGUACAGGCUCAACUAGGCGACGAUCCCUAGCUGGUCUGAGAGGAUGAUAAGCCACACUGGAAAUGUGACACGGCCCAGAGUCCUACGGGAGGCAGCAGUGGAGAAUAUUGCACAAGGGGCGAAAGCCUGAUGCAGCCAUGCCGCGGGUAUGAAGAAGGCCUUAGGAUUGUAAAGUACUUUCAGCGAGGAGGCGUUACCCGCAGAAGAAGCACCGGCUAACUCCGAGCCAGCAGCCGCGGUAAUUC